UGUUGGAGAAUUUUGCCUGGACAAGGCAGGAGAAUGGACACCAGUCGCCCUCAGAAAACCACAAAUCUCCCACGUUUGCCACCAAGGUUUACUGGGCACCUUUUCUACAGGUGCAGGGGAGCAGCAGAGAGCCCUGACCACAGCCUGACGGGAGAAACCGGAAAGCACACAAUUGAAUGAGCAUUUACAGAUGACGGUGGGAGCCAUGAAGGAACACCACAGGAGGCCAUGAGUGUCUGUGACUGUGAGAUGUAACUUAAAUGGGCAGGUCACGGAAGGCCAACCUGAGCUGGUGACAUUUGCUCUUGAGAAGACCCUGGAGCCAGCGGAGGGUGGCUGGGAAAGAGGCCGGCCAGCAGAGCUCUUGACAUGCACUGGGACCUGACCCCUGAAGGGCCCCCAAGGAAACCGGUCCUGUUGGCAGGAUGAUUGCCUUACGUUACCUGUUUCUCACAUCUGGAAUGGAGUCAAAGAAAAUUGUCUGUUGCGUUUUGUAAUUUGGCGAAUGAUCCUCUCUUUCAGUGGUGUCAUUUUCAUAGCCUUUUCAUCACUUUUUAUCCACAUGAAGUGCCCCUCCCUUGCAUGGCCACAAUUUCCAGAUGCUGGUAGCCGGGACAAAGAUGGGAGGCAACAUUCACAGGAACUGGCUCCAUUUAUUCAGUCACAUCUGCCAUAAACAUUCUAUAUGCAAAUUGCCUCAAGUGACUCUCCAGAAAUUGACUAGUUUCUUACGC